rnacentral:lncRNA from 8 species
UGUUGGCAUGACACAGGACUGAUGGUAGCGCUCACCUUGUCUUCUCCGGACAAGCUUUUUUCCGGAUGCCCCAAACAAUCGGAAAGGGGAUUCAUCAGAGAAAAUGACUUUACCCCAGUCCUCAGCAGUCCAAUCCCUGUACUUUUUGCAGAAUAUCAGUCUGUCCCUGAUGUUUUUCCUGGAGAGAAGUGGCUACUUUGCUGCCCUUCUUGACACCAGGCCAUCUUCCAAAAGUCUUCGCCUCACUGUACGUGCAGAUGCACUCACACCUGCCAGCUGCCAUUCCUGAGCAAGCUCUGUACUGGUGGUGCCCCGAUCCCGCAGCUAAAUCAACUUUAGGAGACGGUCCUGGCGCUUGCUGGACUUUCUUGGGCGCCCUGAAGCCUUCUUCACAACAAUUGAACCACUCUCCUUGAAGUUCUUGAUUUAGGUGCAAUCUUACUGGCUGCAAUAUCCUUGCCAGUGAAGCCCUUUUUUGUGCAAAGCAAUGAUGACAGCACGUGUUUCCUUGCAGGUAACCAUAGUUGACAGAGGAAGAACAAUGAUUCCAAGCACCACCCUCCUUUUGAAGCUUCCAGUCUGUUAUUCAAACUCAAUCAGUAUGACAGAGUGAUCUCCGGCCUUGUCCUCGUCAACACUCACACCUGUGUUAACGAGAGAAUCACUGACAUGAUGUCAGCUGGUCCUUUUGUGGCAGGGCUGAAAUGCAGUGGAAAUGUUUUUUGGGGGAUUCAGUUCAUUUGCAAGGCAAAGAAGGACUUUGCAAUUAAUUGCAAUUCAUCUAAUCACUCUUCAUAACAUUCUGGAGUAUAUGCAAAUUGCCAUCAUACAAACUGAGGCAGCAGACUUUGUGAAAAUGUAUAUGUUUCAUUCUCAAAACUUUGGCCACGACUGUAUAUUCUAUCCAGUAACGUUACUACUAUCUCUCUUAAAGUCCCACUUUCUAUUAGCUCUGUGUCAGUGUGUGUGUGUCUCUACACUGCUGAGCUAUGAAAACACACCUGUCAGGUUGAAUCUGGGAUUGUGUGCCAGGGUGUGUGAAUACAUCGUAGUGUAG